CGCAUCUGUGCAUGCAGCAUAUCAAUAAGCGGAGGAAAAGGAAACUAACAAGGAUUCCCCUAGUAACGGCGAGUGAAGCGGGAAGAGCUCAAAUUUGAAAUCUUAAAGGGUUUCCCUUUACGAAUUGUAGUUUAAAGAAGUGUUUUCUGUUGAGGUUUUGGUAAAAGUUCUUUGGAAUAGGACAUCAUAGAGGGUGAGAAUCCCGUAUUUGACCUUUACUUUCAACUUUGUGAUACACUUUCAAAGAGUCGGAUUGUUUGGGAAUGCAGUCCAAAAUGGGUGGUAAAUUUCAUCUAAAGCUAAAUAUUGGCGAGAGACCGAUAGCGAACAAGUACCGUGAGGGAAAGAUGAAAAGAACUUUGAAAAGAGAGUUAGACAGUACGUGAAAUUGUCAAAAGGGAAGCGUUUGACACCAGUGUUGUUUUUCUGAAAAUCAAUUAAAGAACUGUUUAUGCUAAGUUGUUUAGACUUUAUCAGCUAACUGUUUAGUUUUGAGCUUUUCUUUAAUGCACUUUUCAGUUAACAAGUCAACAUCAAUUUCUUUUGCUGUAAAAAAGCUUGAGGAAGGUGGCUUGAGAUUCGUCUUAAGUGUUUAUAGCCUCUUGCCUAUGCAGUCGGAGAGAUUGAGGUCUGCAGCGUAGAUCCUUCGGGGCUAAAUGCAUUUGUGCUAAGUUAUAGCCUUUCAUAGACAACUUGUUGACUAUGAUCAGUCAUGUAGCUUACUCGCUUAUGUCAUUUUACCUACGCUUAGGAUGUUGAACGCGCACAGAGUCUC
rnacentral:rRNA from 1 species